CCCGCGAAUAUAGUAAUGAUGCGCGAGAAAAGGUUGUUGAGCUGCAUAAUUCAGGAAAUGGCUAUAAGAAAAUAGCCCAACGGUUGAAAAUGCCCAUUUCUGCAAUCAGGGCAAUAAUGAAGAAGGUUAAAGCAACUGGAGAUGUUACCAAUGGGCCUGGAAGAGGACGUGUGUCUAUAUUGACCCCACGCACAGUGGGGAGGAUGGUUCCAGUGGCCAAAAAAGGAUCACAGUUGAAGAAUUGUAGACGUUAGUUGGGGCGGCAGGUAGCCAAGUGGUUAGAGGGGCGUUAGGUAGUCUAGUGUUUAGUUGGGGCGGCAGGUAGCCAAGUGGUUAGAGGGGCUUUAGGUAGUCUAGUGGUUAGUUGGGGCGGCAGGUAGCCAAGUGGUUAGAGGGGCGUUAGGUAGUCUAGUGGUUAGUUGGGGCGACAGGUAGCCAAGUGGUUAGAGGGGCGUUAGGUAGUCUAGUGGUUAGUUGGGGCGACAGGUAGCCAAGUGGUUAGAGGGGCGUUAGGUAGUCUAGUGGUUAGUUGGGGCGGCAGGUAGCCAAGUGGUUAGAGGGGCGUUAGGUAGUCUAG
ensembl:lncRNA